UCGGACUCAAAAGUUACAUGAAUAUUUUAUUGUAAAAAAAUAUAUAGAUUUUUUGGGCAAGUUUCAGUGGUACAGAUGUAAUAUACUGAAAACAGAGGGUUUAUCAGUAAAGGGUGUUCCUUUUCUCUCUGUGAAUGGCUACUGUGUAGUUCUUGGUCUUGGGUGUGAGAGAGAGAGAGAGAGAGAGAGAGAGCUGCUACAGAGUAGAGCUGCUGAGACUUCUGUUUGAGUUGGUGAUUGUUCUUCUCUCUGCCACUACUUUACUUCCGUCUUUCUCAGCUUUCAGCCUCGUUAUUCUCCUCUUUGCUCUUCACUUGAAGCUUUUCUUUCUUCAUUUUCCCAUUUCGAGCGGGGGAUUGCAUCUUAAGCCGUAAAAAAGGUUUACAAAAAAUGCCGACUAUUGAAAUCAUGAGGGAUACCUUUGCAUCCGGAAAUGGUUCAAAUGAAGAAGUUGAAAUUGUCAUUGCUUCACCUUAUGGUCAAUUGGCUGACAAGCAAACAAGAAUUAGACACUUAAAAUUGUAUCAAGCUGCACUAAGUGGUGAUUGGAGCAUGGCUGAGGGUAUUUACAAGAAACAUAAAAAUGAUAUAAGAGCGAGGAUAUCAAAGGAAGGGGACCCUGCUCUCCAUAUUGCAGCUGCAGCAGAGCAAACUGAUUUUUUGAAAAAGCUGGUGGAUAAUAUAAAU